rnacentral:rRNA from 1 species
CAAUAGCGUAUAUUAAAGCUGUUGCGGUUAAAAAGCUCGUAGUUGGAUUUCUGUCAAGGACAACUGGUCCGCCCUCCGGGUGAGCACAUAGUUUGGUCUUGGCAUCUUGCUGGAAACUGUUGCUGCGCUUGGUUGUGUGGUGCAGCUUUCAGCACUUUCACUUUGAGGAAAUUGGAGUGUUUCAAGCAGGCACAUGCCUUUGGACACAGUAGCAUGGAAUAAUUAGAUUGGGCUUUUGCUCCAACUUGUUGGUUCCUGGAGCUGAGGUGAGAAUCAAUGGGGAUUGUUGGGGGCACCCGAAUUUAGCCGUCAGAGGUGAAAUUCUUGGAUCUGCUAAAGACGGACAACUGCGAANGNGUUUGGNCAGGAUGUUUNCAUUG